UACGUAGGAUGCAAGCGAUGUCCGGAUUUAUUGGGUUUAAAGGGUGCGUAGGCGGUCUAUUAAGUUAGUGGUGAAAACGUUCGGCUUAAACGGAUACCCGCCAUUGAUACUGAUAGACUUGAGUGCGACAGAGGGUGUUGGAAUGUGUGGUGUAGCGGUGAAAUGCUUAGAUAUCACGCAGAACACCAAUUGCGAAGGCAGAUGCCUAUGUCGUAACUGACGCUGAGGCACGAAAGCGUGGGGAGCAAACAGG
rnacentral:rRNA from 1 species